CGUAUUCUGUGGGUUCAAAGGAGGAUUUAUCCAUAGACAAGACACACUAGGUCCCAAGAAUAUGAGAGGAAAGAAAACAGAAAGAGAUGCUCUGUGGCCAGGAGUCUUAGGCGGGAAACUGAGCUAAUGGGCAAACAUGUGUUUGAUCCAGAUCCCACCUCUUCCUGACACACGUGGCUGGAGCCUGAAGGUACAGCCCAGAAAAGACGGAUUUUCCCCUUGAGAGAGUGAACCCAGAGUCCAGGGAAUCUGAGCUCCAGGCCCUGUGCAGCAAGAGAAAUGCUUACCCCCUUUGCACACAGGAUUGCUGAGAAAACCUCGGCUGGGUCAGGCAAACCCAGCUGGGGUGCAGCUCUGCCACUUUAGACCCGUGUGAUCCGAGGCCAGAAAUGGAACAAGGUAGACCCCAGAGAGUUUCAGCCCUGGAGAAUAAUGAACAGUGUAGUGCAAUUCCUGUGAGGCCUCGCUGGAACUGGAGGAGGUGGAGUUACAAAGGCCUGCUUGGAGACCCCAAUAUCAGCCCUGUGGCUACAAAGGCUAUGUCAUGAAGGCCUUCUGGUUCUCAGAUUGUGACUUGAACUGGGAGUUAAAGGAUCUGAGCUUGGCAUUUUCUUUCUGUACAAGACAGGCAGCCCUCAGCCCAUGGCGAUCCCUGAGGACUCUGCCAGAAAUACCCUUGUUAGUGCUUCAUCACAGCACAGAGCAGAGCAUUGCCCAGACGGAAGAGGAGCAGCCCAGUGUGGAUGGGAGCAGAGCCUGGGGUCUGAACUGCAACAAGAAAAAGAAGUCAGGAGUACAGACGGUCCAAGAGGCAAACGAUGGCAAAGAAUGCGGGCUCUGGAAAGGGGCUGUCUGGGGUGAGCCCUGCUCUGCUGCCCACUGUUUUGUGAUCUUGGGCAAUUUGUGUAAACCUCUGAAACUCGGUCUCCUUACACAUCAAAUGAGGAGGUUAACACUAAGUCUUCUCUGGCGUUGUUCCGAGGAGGCCUUCAGUUAGAAACGUGCAGUGCAUCGUACGUUUGACAUGGCCUAUGAGAAGGGUGCAGUAAACAGGAACUAUUAUUUUUAUUAUUGAUCUAUCAAAAAGUCCACUAUCAAGAGAUUGUAAAUCUCCUUUGAAUAUCUCCUCAAACUCUCCCAAAAGAAACCCUUCUGGAUUCCCACAUAUUUAUAAAUGUGUUCCCUUACCUGCUAAUUUGCUAUCAUACAAAAUAAAUCAUAAUUAUGGAGAAAAAGGUAAGAAUUU
rnacentral:lncRNA from 1 species